AAAAGAAAUGUAUAUAUAUAUACAAUUAUAGAGUCCUCCUGGUGUCAGAGAUGUGUUUUGCCCGCUGUGCAGGCUUUCUCAAUCGGCAUGUUCUGCACCCAUUUUUGUUCCAAGUUAUAAAGGGGUGUUCCACCUCUAUUCGUCCAAUAUAUUGCUCGUUCGGCAAGGUAAGUGAAGCUGUUCAGCUGUUUCCCAUGAUUGUUCGUCUGUCCGUCCGAACGCCAGUAUGGUGAUUCAGGUUAAGUUCAUCUACCAUGUACUCGCUUGUUUGUCUAUACGAACGGCGCAUGUGACGU